rnacentral:lncRNA from 1 species
UUCUUGAUUUGAUUGAUAUAAAAAUUAACAAGUAUGAUUUAAGAUCACAGGAAACAGCAGUACUCCCAAGAGUUCGAACUACUAAGUAUGGCUUAAGAUCGUUUCGCUAUAAUGCUACACAAAUCUGGAAUGAGCUACCGAACCAUUGUCGAAUGGAAACAUCUUUGGACCAAUUCAAAAAAUUGGUACAAACAUGGGAUCCAAGUAACAGCUCAUGCCAGUGCAGUGCAUGCAUAUAGUGUUUAUGCCUGUUUUAUUUUUACUUUUAUUUUUUGUGUGAUUAUAUGAUUUGUGCAAUCUUAUUAUUAACUUGUGCUAUGUUUUAAGUGUACUAUAUGCUUUUAACUUAUAUAUGUCAUUUAUGGUAUUUUACUAUGCAUUAUAUGUUUAAAAUUGUUUUGUUUU